rnacentral:rRNA from 1 species
UACGGGAGGGGCAAGCGUUAUUCAUCAUAAACGGGCGUAAAGGGUGAGUAGGCUGUGGUAGAUAGUUUAUGGGAAAAAACAAAAAUACACUUUGUUACCUCAUUUUCUAGAUACUAGUUAAUAGAGAUUAUGGCGGGAGGAUAGAAUUACUAAUGGAAAGGUAAAAUCUUCUGAGAUUAGUACGAAUACCAGAGGCGAAGGCGAUUUUCGGUCUAAUCUAACGCUGAGGUGACUAAAGCUUGGGGAAUCAAAACGGGG